GGUAAGGUUAAAAGGAGUUUCCACUUUAUGUGGUGACUCCACCAGAAAAGAUACGAUGAGAUGGUGAGUUCAUAGUGUUGAGUCGUGUGGAUGGACAUGG